rnacentral:rRNA from 1 species
GAUCAUUAUUGAAAUAAACCUGAUGAGUUGCUGCUGGCUCUCUAGGGAGUAUGUGCACACUUGUCAUCUUUAUAUCUCCACCUGUGCACUUUUGUAGACCUGGAAUAUCUCUCUGAUGCUUGGCACUCAGGUUUGAGGAUUGACUUUUUGUCUUUCCUUAUAUUUCCAGGCCUAUGUUUCUACAUAUACCCAAUGUAUGUUAUAGAAUGUAAUAAAUGGCCUUUGUGCCUAUAAACCUUAUACAACUUUCAGCAACGGAUCUCUUGGCUCUCGCAUCGAUGAAGAACGCAGCGAAAUGCGAUAAGUAAUGUGAAUUGCAGAAUUCAGUGAAUCAUCGAAUCUUUGAACGCACCUUGCGCUCCUUGGUAUUCCGAGGAGCAUGCCUGUUUGAGUGUCAUUAAUAUAUCAACCUCUUUAACUUUUGGUUAUCGAGUGUUGGAUGUGGGGGUCUUUUUUUUGCUGGCCUCUCUGAGGUCAGCUCCCCUGAAAUACAUUAGUGGAACAAUUUGUGGACCGUUCAUUGGUGUGAUAACUAUCUACGCUAUUGACGUGAAGCAGUUCAGCUUAUAACUGUCCAUUGACUUGGACAAAUUUUCAUUAAUGUGACCUCAAAUCAGGUAGG